AACCACAAAUUUUCUCCUUUAUCUUCCCUUGGCAGUCCAUUUUCUUGCCAAUUUUGCGAAUGCCUGCUGCCAAAUUACUCUUUCGUUUUUGCACCAACUGCUCCAAAUUAUAGAGUUUCAAUUGGCCGAUUCAAGCUUCAAGUUUAUCUAGGCCGCUAUUUUGCUGCUGAACUAGGUACUGCCUCACUUCUAAAUCAAGCUGCUAUUGGCCACCAUUUGAUGUUCCAAAAUGGCUGCACUUUGUUGUCCAAAUCAGCCUCCAGUUGCCAAUUGAACAUGUUCAAAAAUCUGCUGCUAUUUGGCUUAAAUCUCCCCACCAAUCGGUCUUAAUUUAGUGGCGCUUUACUGUCCUAUUGUUAACCGAUUAUUUCUGCUUCAUUACCAUUCAAAUUGUUGUGAAGUGUCAUUCCAUAUGUUGCAAUUUGCUCCACAGUUUGCUUUAGAAAUCUACAACUAUUUGCUGUCA